rnacentral:rRNA from 1 species
UGAGGAAUCUUCCACAAUGGGCGAAAGCCUGAUGGAGCAACGCCGCGUGCAGGAUGAAGGCCUUCGGGUCGUAAACUGCUUUUAUAAGUGAAGAAUAUGACGGUAACUUAUGAAUAAGCACCGGCUAACUACGUGCCAGCAACCGCGGUCAUACGUAGGGUGCAAGCAUUAUCCGGAGUGACUGGGCGUAAAGAGUUGCGUAGGUGGUUUGUUAAGCGAGUAGUGAAAUCAGGCGGCUCAACCGUUCUGGCUAUUACUCGAACUGGCAAACUCGAGAGUGGUAGAGGUAACUGGAAUUUCUUGUGUAGGAGUGAAAUCCGUAGAUAUAAGAAGGAACACCAAUGGCGGAGGCAGGUUACUGGACCAUUUCUGACACUAAGGCACGAAAGCGUGGGGAGCGAACG